rnacentral:rRNA from 1 species
AACGAACGCUGGCGGCAUGCCUAACACAUGCAAGUCGAACGAGACCUUCGGGUCUAGUGGCGCACGGGUGCGUAACGCGUGGGAAUCUGCCCUUCGGUUGGGAAUAACUGAGAGAAAUUUCAGCUAAUACCUUAUAAUGUCUUCGGACCAAAGAUUUAUCGCCGAGGGAUGAGCCCGCGUAGGAUUAGGUAGUUGGUGGGGUAAUGGCCUACCAAGCCGACGAUCCUUAGCUGGUCUGAGAGGAUGAUCAGCCACACUGGGACUGAGACACGGCCUAGCCUCCUACGGGAGGCAGCAGUGGGGAAUAUUGGACAAUGGGCGAAAGCCUGAUCCAGCAAUGCCGCGUGAGUGAUGAAGGCCUUAGGGUUGUAAAGCUCUUUUACCCGGGAUGAUAAUGACAGUACCGGGAGAAUAAGCUCCGGCUAACUCCGUGCCAGCCGCCGCGGUAA